GAGGAUAUAGUUUAAUGGCAAAAUAGCUAACUUUCAUUUAGCAGAUAGAAGGUUCGAAACCUUUAAUCCUCACCA
rnacentral:tRNA from 1 species